rnacentral:rRNA from 1 species
GACGAACGCUGGCGGCGUGCUUAACACAUGCAAGUCGAACGGAAAGGCCCUGCUUUUGUGGGCUGCUCGAGUGGCGAACGGGUGAGUUACCCGUGAGUACCCUGCCCCUCACUUUGGGAUAACCUCAGGAAACUGGGGCUAAUACCGGCUAGGAGCUCCUGCUGCAUGGUGGGGGCUGGAUAGUUUCGGUGGUUGGGGAUGGACUCGCGGCUUAUCAGCUUGUUGGUGGGGUAGUGUCUUACCAAGGCCUUGACGGGUAGCCGGCCUGGGAGGGUGACCGGACACAUUGGGACUGAGAUACGGCACGGACUCGUACGGGAGGCAGCGGUGGAGAAUAGUGCACAAUGGGCGGAAGCCUAGUGCGACAACGCCGCGUGGGGGAUGACAGCCUUCGGGUAGUAAACCACUUUCGCCUGUGACGAAACGUGAGUGACGGUAAUGGGUAAAGAAGCACCGGCUAACUACGUG